CCAGAGUCUCAGGAAAGAGGAGGACAAACUGAGGCCUGCCCUGCUCCCUGAUCUUAUAUCCCAGCACCCGCCAGGGAUAGAAGCACUAAAAUGCUUGAUUUUGUGAGUGGAGUUUUGAACCUAGGACCCAAGGUGUGUGAGGUACAAGUUCACUUCUCCUGUAUGGCUUGGCAUCACCUGAAGUGAGUGGCUCUUCAAAGACUACAGAGCAACAUGAAAUGGCAUCUUCCACUUCCAAGAACUUGCAGGGAUUCUGGACUAUAAAUAAACACUUGGGAUGGCAUUGGGCACUUGUCUAUAUCCAUUCACCCUCCACGUUACUAACAGAUGAAAAAGUAUGGAUGUGUUGUCAGGCCUAUCUUUUUUUUUUUUUUCAUGUAGGGAGGUCUGAAUUAAUUCCUAUGAUUCAUACCGACCUUUUAGCUCUGCUCUGUGGUCAUUGUGCCUUAGUGCUUGAUGCCACGUCAGAACUGAGAGGGGGUCAAUUUAUCACCAAGCAGAACAAAAAGGGAUGGAGAAAAUAAAGGAUGUGCUAUUGGGGUG